ACCAAUGCUCCAGAACUUGGUGGGGAGAUCUGCAACCUUGCUGUGGUCCCUGUUGGGUUUUCAACAGAACAGACCUCUAGAGCCCAGAAGGGAUCUCUGUGGACCAGUGCUGAUUCAAGGGUGGUGGCUGUAGCUAUUGCCUCUUAGGCAACUGGACUGCUUAAGUGGCAGAUCCUAAGAUGCUGUCAUUAAUGCUGCUGCACCUAAGCAGUACCAUCAGAUGCGGCCCCACCUCACCAAGCUGUCAUGUACACAAGGCCCAUUUAGCCUGACCUGGAUGUUCCUCGGUGCCUCUUCUCUGUUCUCCUUCCUAACCCUCUUCGUGAUCAGACCAGCUCUGUCCCAGGGCAAGCGAGCCAUCACAGCCUUGAUCCUAAACAUCUUGUCAGCAGUAUUUUGUGUGUGCGCGUUGACAAACUUCCUGGUCAGUAUUCAAGUGAAGAACCCCAAGCUGCUGAAUUGUCUGGGCUGGUCCUUCUACAUCUGCUGUUUCACCCUGUUCUAUGCAUUCAUGGUGUCGGUGGUCCUAGGAACGGUGAGAGCAUCCACUAAUGUAUCGCCUUUCGUGGUCAGCAGCUCUUCUGGGCCAGUCCCUGCCACUCAGUCCAACGUCCUCCGAAACAUUACCUGCCUUUCCUAA
rnacentral:lncRNA from 1 species